UGCUUGGGAAUAUGCCUUUAGGUGGGGGACAACAGUUGGAAACGACUGCUAAUACCGCAUAACGUCUACGGACCAAAGUGGGGGACCUUCGGGCCUCACGCCUAAAGAUUAGCCCAAGUGGGAUUAGCUAGUUGGUUGAGGUAAAGGCUCACCAAGGCAACGAUCCCUAGCCGGUUUGAGAGGAUGAUCAGCCACACUGGAACUGAGACACGGUCCAGACUCCUACGGGAGGCAGCAGUGGGGAAUAUUGGUCAAUGGAGGCAACUCUGAACCAGCCAUGCCGCGUGCAGGAAGACGGCC
rnacentral:rRNA from 1 species